rnacentral:rRNA from 1 species
AUUGAACGCUGGUGGAAUGCUUUACACAUGCAAGUCGAACGGUAGAGGGGGCAACCCCUCGAGAGUGGCGAACGGGUGAGUAAUAUAUCGGAACGUGCCCAGUCGUGGGGGAUAACGUAGCGAAAGUUACGCUAAUACCGCAUACGAUCUAAGGAUGAAAGCGGGGGAUCGCAAGACCUCGCGCGAUUGGAGCCGCCGAUAUCAGAUUAGGUAGUUGGUGGGGUAAAGGCUCACCAAGCCAACGAUCUGUAGCUGGUCUGAGAGGACGACCAGCCGCACUGGAACUGAGACACGGUCCAGGCUCCUACGGGAGGCAGCAGUGGGCAAUUUUUGACAAUGGACGCAAGUCUGAUCCUGCCAUUCCGCGUGAAGGAUGAAGGCCCUCGGGUUGUAAACUGCUUUCGUAGGGAACGAAAAGGUCUCUCUUAAUACGGGGGGCUCAUGACGGUACCGUAAGAAUAAGCACCGGCUAACUACGUGCCAGCAGCCGCCGUAA